rnacentral:rRNA from 1 species
CUGCAUGGAGCCGGCCUUGAAAUACCACCCUUUAAUGUUUGAUGUUCUAACGUGGACCCGUGAUCCGGGUUGCGGACAGUGUCUGGUGGGUAGUUUGACUGGGGCGGUCUCCUCCUAAAGAGUAACGGAGGAGCACGAAGGUUGGCUAAUCCUGGUCGGACAUCAGGAGGUUAGUGCAAUGGCAUAAGCCAGCUUGACUGCGAGCGUGACGGCGCGAGCAGGUGCGAAAGCAGGUCAUAGUGAUCCGGUGGUUCUGAAUGGAAGGGCCAUCGCUCAACGGAUAAAAGGUACUCCGGGGAUAACAGGCUGAUACCGCCCAAGAGUUCAUAUCGACGGCGGUGUUUGGCACCUCGAUGUCGGCUCAUCACAUCCUGGGGCUGAAGUAGGUCCCAAGGGUAUGGCUGUUCGCCAUUUAAAGUGGUACGCGAGCUGGGUUUAGAACGUCGUGAGACAGUUCGGUCCCUAUCUGCCGUGGGCGCUGGAGAACUGAGGGGGGCUGCUCCUAGUACGAGAGGACCGGAGUGGACGCAUCACUGGUGUUCGGGUUGUCAUGCCAAUGGCACUGCCCGGUAGCUAAAUGCGGAAGAGAUAAGUGCUGAAAGCAUCUAAGCACGAAACUUGCCCCGAGAUGAGUUCUCCCUGAG